AACGAACGCUGGCGGCAGGCCUCAAACAUGCAAGUCUAGGGGGUGUAGCAAUACAUCACCGGCGGACGGGUGCGUAACGCGUGGGAAUAUACCUAUUGGUUCGGAACAACACAGGGAAACUUGUGCUAAUACCGAAUGUGCCCUUACGGGGAAAGAUUUAUCGCCAAUGGAUUAGCCCGCGUCCGAUUAGCUAGUUGGUGAGGUAACGGCUCACCAAGGCUCCGAUCGGUAGCUGUUCUGAGAGGAAGAUCAGCCACACUGGGACUGAGACACGGCCCAGACUCCUACGGGAGGCAGCAGUUGGGAAUCUUGGACAAUGGGGGGAAACCCUGAUCCAGCCAUGCCGCGUGAGUGAUGAAGGCCUUCGGGUUGUAAAACUCUUUCGACGGGGACGAUAAUGACGGUACCCGUAGAAGAAGCUCCGGCUAACUUCGUGCCAGCAGCCGCGGUAAU
rnacentral:rRNA from 1 species